ACGGAUGGUCAUGCGUCGCAUUAGCUAGUUGGCGGGGUAACGGCCCACCAAGGCGACGAUGCGUAGGGGUUCUGAGAGGAAGGUCCCCCGCACUGGUACUGAGACACGGACCAGACUCCUACGGGAGGCAGCAGUGAGGAAUAUUGGUCAAUGGCCGCAGGGCUGAACCAGCCAAGUCGCGUGAGGGAUGACGGUCCUAUGGAUUGUAAACCUCUUUUGUCAGGGAGCAAAGGGCGCCACGUGUGGCGCUUUGCGAGUACCUGAAGAAAAAGCAUCGGCUAACUCCGUGCCAGCAGCCGCGGUAAUACGGAGGAUGCGAGCGUUAUCCGGAUUUAUUGGGUUUAAAGGGUGCGCAGGCGGAAUGUCAAGUCAGCGGUAAAAUUUCGGGGCUCAACCCCGUCGUGCCGUUGAAACUGGCGUUCUUGAGUGAGCGAGAAGUAUGCGGAAUGCGUGGUGUAGCGGUGAAAUGCAUAGAUAUCACGCAGAACUCCGAUUGCGAAGGCAGCAUACCGGCGCUCAACUGACGCUCAUGCACGAAAGCGUGGGUAUCGAACAGGAUUAGAUACCCUGGUAGUCCACGCAGUAAACGAUGAAUACUAACUGUCCGGGCAGAAUGAUGCCUGG
rnacentral:rRNA from 1 species